rnacentral:rRNA from 1 species
UUAAAGGGCUGCAGUAUAUUGACUGUACAAAGGUAGCAUAAUAAUUAGUCUUUUAAUUGAAGACUUGCAUGAAAGAUUUGAUGAGAUAUAAACUGUCUCUUUUUUAAAAUUAGAAUUUAAUUUUUUAGUAAAAAAGCUAAAAUUAUUUUAAAAGACGAGAAGACCCUAUAGAGUUUUAUAAUUAAAUUAAUUAAAAAUUUAUUUAAAAAUUAAAAAAUAAUUAAUUUUAAUUAUUUUAUUGGGGUGAUAAAAAAAUUAAAAUAACUUUUUUUUAAUUUAAACAUUAAUUGAUGAAUAAUUGAUCCAUUUUUUAUGAUUAUAAGAAAAAAUUACCUUAGGGAUAACAGCGUAAUUUUUUUUUUUA